GGGAGAACAGAAUGAAAAGAAGGGCUGGGGCCCCAGCACCUUCUACCUGAACGGGUUUUGCCGCCAGCCAGAUCUCUACAGAGAUCUCUCGGCUGCUGUAAUAGCUCCUUCCUUCUUCCCAGGCACAGGCUGCUGAGAGCUCCCAACAAGAGCCUUCCUCUGGUUCCCCCCAGCGGCUCUAUCUGUUCCCUCCCUCCACGCAGCUUCUUGCUUCUGUUUUCCUGAGAGACUCCUUCACUUCCCAAGCUCUUCCUCGAUUUGCCUCCCGUUACCAUUGUCCGGGUGAAAUUCCAGCUGACCCUUUCCUUUGAACCCUGUGGGCUUUCACCCCUGCUUCCUCCACUGGGCCACACAUUGCCAACCAUUGUUGGCCAGACACUGGGGGUGGAUACUUUUGUAGGAAGUCCCUGAGCUGAGAAGUCAUCCAGACAAUGGGUAAGUCCUUUAGCGUCUGGUCACUGUGCCAAGCACAAUAAAGCCACUGGAGAGGAUGUGCAGCUUUGGAGCCGUGAAAGCCUCGUGGGCAGCGAGCCACAUGCUCAGAGCUUUGUCUGCCGAGAGCUGUGUUCACAUGGUUCCUGGCAUCAUACUCACGCUUGGCAGUGGGCACCCUGACCUGCAGAGAGCAACAGAGAUGCCUCUUGUGUUGUUUGUGGGACACAGGAGGGGACCCGGGUGCAAGAGAACAAGCCAAUGACUUGUUAAAUGUUGUGAGGACUGAGCCAAGUGCGUCCCAUAACAAACGCCAAGAAACACAGGACUUUAAAUAAACAGCCUCACUGAAGAGCCAGAGGAGGACAAGGGGGCAAUUCAUGAAGCAUAAAAGGGACGUUAUUUGUAAGAGAAAAAGGCCCAAGAAGCAUGGAGGGGAUCUGCCAAGAGCGGGCGAAGCCAGCCAGAUGCGGCAGGAGUUAUGGGGUGAGGGAGGCCAGCAAGGGCAUCCAUUCUCCUCCACCAGCCUAGGCUAGAUGGCCAUCGGGGCCACAGCAGCGUGCUGCACUCGGGCAUUGAAUUUCACCGGUAAGACUCAAAUGCAAAGAGAGAAUGGCCAAAAAUUCCAAGAUGGCAGCCACUGAGCUUUGACUCCAACCCAGGGCCCUUUGGAGCCCAGCAGGUCCUAUGCACCAGAUGGUUGCACCAUGCAGAGAUGCCUGCUGUAGCUGAGAGGUAGCCAGCAGGGUGGUUGGGUUUUUUUUUUUUUUUUUUUUUUUUUUUGCAUGGGGUAUACUGCUGGAUGAAAUAUAGGAUGAAGGGAAGGAUGUUGCUUGUGCUGCUCUGUAUUUACCAAUUUUGGCAUGUUUUAGAACUAAGAAAUACAAGUUAAACCCACACAAUCAGAAACACUGGGUAUGUUGGUGACCUUUCGGGGUAACCUCUUGACCACCCUGGAAAGGUUACACCUGGCCAUGGUCAGUGGGCUGACCUUGUUUCAGCUUGUCAUCAGCGCUUCUCAGCUUAUCUAUUAGGCUCAGUAAGGCCAGUCGUUACGCACUUAGCUGAUUGUGUGACUCACAAGCCAAGAACGUAACCCACAUGGCUAAUGAGAGGGCAUGGGGAGACACAGCCGCUGCUGGGCCAUAAAUAAUACGCACACUGUCUGUGCCAGACAUUGUCAGAGCCUUUGUGUAUAUUGUCCCACUUAAUCCUCACAGUAGCCCUGUGAACUAGGAAUCACUACUCUCUCUCAAUAAAUGAAGUGGUCCCUGUAUUGUGCUAGGCGCCGGGUCCCAUCUGUGUAUCUACUGCUUACCACUCUCUCCCUUCUCUAGCCUGGGGGUGGGGUGGGAGGCACCCUGAUUUUAAAGGAGUGGAAAUUAAAUUAGAUCUGUGCUUUUCUGACACUUGGGAUACAAGCAAGUGCUUCCUCCUGGGAAAACUCCCAAGCAGGCAGUUGUUGAUUUUGGUGUGUAGGAGACCCAGCAGGCAGAUCCUAACAUCCAUUGCCCAGACUUCUGAUUCAGUAGAGACUCAGGAAUGUGGAUUUCUGAAAGUCCCCCCUAGAUUCUGAGGCAGAAGGCUUUAGAGACUUCAAAGGCUUAUUGCAUUAUGAAUGUAGAUGUAGCUAUAUUCAGACCUGCCUGUCUGUAUCUCACAUAUUAACACUCUCAUUGAUCUUGAAGGUUACAGGCAAAAAUCCUUAUGUUCUCACAGUGAAUUCUAGAGAAGUAUAAUAAAGUAAGAUAGAUUUGCUGGCUCCUUACAAUUUCUGUGCCCCUAGAGUACCUCUUCUUUUUAACAUCCUCUACAAAAUUUCCAUCCCCUCCGAGAGACAAACCAAAUUACUGACUUUGUCAAAAGACGGCAAACAGAUGUGCCAGUGCUUGAGAAAGUGUAGCCAGUGGCUUCUUGCCGAAGCUUCUGGCUAUCUUAGCAGUGAAGCUGGGUAGGAGAGCGGAAUAGGGAGGUUUAAAAUGGUAGCUGGCAGCCGCACAGAGGACGAGCUGCUCCUUCACCCCAGCACCUGGCUGCUCCUGGUCCAGGUGACCAGAAAGUCUGCCCAAAGUCAUGAAGAAAUGACUGCCAGUGUUUUUCCUCGAUGACAGACAUCAGAGUUAAGACAUUGCCAGUGUAUUUGGGAAGAAUCUCUGAUGUCACAUCAGAUGGAUCCCUGGCUCAUCGAGCCCUGUCUAGGCUCAGAUCCAGAACACAUGCCCAUUGGUAAUUUUGUCUAAAUUGAGCUAUAAGUUGAAUUAUUACUCCUCAACCACUUACUGAGAGUUUGUCUUCUAAUUUUCAAAA